AGACAUUCAUCUCCGUCCUCGUACAGAGUCUUAACACCGCCGGAGCCACCACUGGCGGUGAACGCUGCCAUGUCCAAAUCCCACUAAAAUAACACCCCAACUUCUCCUUCUCAUCCUCUUUCCAGAUAUACCAGCCUUUUCUUCAAAAUCCCUCCCUAUCUCGUCGAAUAAUGGUUCAAAGUUUUUCGGCCACAACUCAAUCUUGUCCAAAUCCAUACAAAUCAACACCAUAGAAGCGCCUCACUACCCUCAUCCCAAACUGCUAAUUGGUUACCCUCAAAUAUGCCCGAAAUUGGUUGAAUAUCAAAUUGAAGUUUCUCUAGUCAAAACCCAAGUCGCCCCAAUUAGCCUCAAAAUAGUAGCAGACAUUCCUGGGGCCUUCCCCAUGACGAAUCCAAGACCAAUUACAUUCAAUUUACAUUAGAGCUGUUCAAAUUUGUAUGUGAAGGCUGACCAGACUUUGUUUAGUAAGUUGGCUCCCUUCCUUUCCCUUUCAGUUUCAAUUAUUCAUCCAUCUCUGUUUUUCUUGCUAGCAUGCAAUUUUAAUUAAAGUGUUAAAAUUAUUUCGACAAUAAUUAGUUUGCACAAUUAGUUUAAUUUGGUAGUUUCUUGUUUAGCUUGACUUCUGUCUUUAAUUCUGUUAGAAUAAUAAUUGAUAACGGUUUAUUUCUAAUUGUUGAUUGAGUUGGUCAAUAAUCGAACAAAAUUAUGUAAUUAGUGCAUGCUUCAGUUAAAUAACUGGUUAGUUUGUCCAUGUUUAGUUCGGUUGUUUAGAGCACAAUUAGUUAAUAAAAUGUUAGUUUGGGGUUUUCAUUUGAGGAUUGAAUGAGAGAUUCUAGCUAGAAUACCCUAGGAGCUUCUAGAUGGGGGGUUCUAAGUAAUUUGCAAAGAAUAACAGUAGUUAUUUGUGUGCCAAGUUAAUAAUUAAUGGGUAUAAACUAAUUAGAGGAGGGGACUAAAAGGAAAAUGAAAAUCUUCUUGGUUGCCUAUAAAAGAGCAUGACAAUUGACAUGUUAAGGGUCUUUUUCUUUUCAGCUGAAGAUAUAUCCAGAAUUUCCUCUCUCUGAUUUUCAGAUCUGAAGCUUGAAUUCCAGCCUCCAAAAUUCAAAAAAAAAAAAUUAACAGAGAAAAUCAAAAAAAAAAAAAAAAGUAGUUACUAUUUCAUUGGUCAUUUGGGUUGAAUUUAAUUUUGGUGAUUAAUUUCAAGUUCUGGUUCCAUACUUGGUAGCUGAGCACUAAUUUCUAGUGUGAUUGAACCGUGUGGGUUGAAUUUAGAUAGCUCAUGGUUUGCUUUGGUCCUUUACUGCUUUAUCCUCGGUAGAACUAGUAGCUGUUGGUUGGAAUAUCAAUAUCUGGGUCAAAAAUCGAUUCAAAGUCACCUUUAAUUGCUGACUGAGCUACUGCUUUGCUGCUAAAAUCUCCUCCUCUUAUUUUUUAUCUACAUUUCGAUGUGCAUUUCCUUUAUCUUCUUGAGUUGGAAUCUUGCUUCAUAUAUGUAUGAUAAGUUGGUAGAUCAAGGAAGAAAAUUGUUGUUUGCGCGUUUGAGUUCACAUAGGAUUGUUGUUAAACUUUCAAUAUUCAUGCCUACCUAUUUGAUGCCUAAUUGUAAUUAUGAAUAACUCAGGACUGUAUACCCUGUUAUGAACUAUUUGGAAAGUGUUCUAGCAUUAUGUGAGUCAUUAUUAGAUUUGUGAGAUUCUGGAGGAGCAAGCUGUCUUUAAUCUUCUAUCACUUAGUUUCCUUAUAUGAAUAAUCGUUGUAGAGUUAAUGUGUAUGUGAAUUUAAAGUAGUAUCGAUUAGAAGGCUCAUGUGUAUUGAAUCUGCCAGUUAAAACUCGUUAAUUUGGUUAGUUGUAAGGGUGUAAUUUGGUCAAUACUAAUUCCUAGGUUUUGCCACAAUUUGUGUGUGCCAGUUGUGAUUCGAAUUGUAUCCGUGAGCUAGACCUUGAGAUUGGGGAUCUCCUAAUUGAUUAGGCUAUGAAUUUGGCCCAGUGCACGUUUUAAAACACUGUUGCCCGGGCUCGGUGUCUGAUUUGGACGUAAUCGCUGGUGAACAAGCAAUGGGCUCCUAUCUGGAGCCUGUUCAUAUUGGGCUUUUAGACCCAAGGUUGAAAUACAUCUGGUCUGAUUAGGUAAAGGAGCGGCAGACUAAAGUUUUUCAUAACAUUUUAAUUAAGGCUUUUCCUUUCUUUAGGAACAAAUUAAGUAGAUAAUUGUCGCUUUUAGAUCGGCUUUAAAAUAAAGUGAGCCUCGCCUCGCCAAAUAAAACUACAAAUUGUGGGGCCCUCAAUAAAUGGUUAUUGAAACACUUAGAAUUCGGGAGGGCCGUUUAGUGAAUUUUACGGUUUUCCCCAAAAUAAUAUUGCGUUAGACUCUUUAGGCGCGAUUUAAUUAAAUUACUUUUUUAAACUCGGAUGUGUAUUGAUGCGAUCCAAAUCCAAAUCUCGACGAAGUAAAAAUGUGUUAACAACCAUGGGUGCAUUGAUUGCGACGCAGUUCGUGACGUAUUUUCACGACGUUGCAAUUUUUUAAAAUAAUGAUAAAAGCAGUUUAUCAAUAAAAGGCACAUAAGUUAGCAUGUAUUAAAAUCAGAUAAAAUCAAAUUCAAUAGUUAAGUGACCGUGCUAAAAUCACAGAAUCUGGGAAUGCCUAAUACCUUCUCCCGGGUAAAUAGAAUUCUUUAUCCGGAUUUCUGUUUCGCGGACUGUUAACAGAGUCAUAAAUUUUCUCGGUCCGGGAUUGAAUCUGUGACUUGGGAUACCACUAAUUUUUCAAGUGGCAACUCUGAAUUAAUAAUAAUAAAUCUUGUUUCGACUGUCCUUUAAUUGAAAAAAAUGGCUUUACACCCUUGCGGGUGUAGUGGAAAAGGAGGCGUGACAAGCACCAUGCAUUACCUUUUACUUUUCUCUAGUUGAUUUUCUUUUCGCAUUUUUCUUUAAUUUCAAAAUAAGUGCUUCAAUGUUAAAAACACUUAUGCAAUUUAUCAAAGCAUUUCAGUUCCUUAUAAGUAUUGCUCUUAUUAUUUUUUCUAUCAUUUACUUUAUUUACACAGCAAUACUAUUACUUCUUGAUGAACCGACGAUUGUGACUUGCAACGAGACAACGCAACAAACAGAUAUAGACAGAAGAGGAAGAUAUAUCAGAAGAGUUCAUUAAAGAGAUCAAAGAUUUUGAGAAUAGGCAUAUGGCUAAUUUGAAUGACAUUGUCGUCAACCUGGGGGAUAAAAAGAAUGUCAAGGAAACGCGCAUCACUAUUCACCUGUCACCAUCGGAAAAGGAAGAGUACACAAAAUUUCUAAAGGAUUAUGAGGACAUAUUUGCCUGGUCAUAUGAUGAUAUGACCAGUCUCGGCACAUCUAUUACAGCUCACAAAUUGCCAACUGAUUCGACAUGUCCGCCGUAAAGAAGAAGCUCAGAAAGUUCAAACCCGACAAAAGUUUGAAAAUCAAGGAAGAAGUUACCAAAGAAAGUCAAAGCCAAGGUUCUCAAGGCAGUGGAGUAUCCAACAUGGUUCCCCCAUAUUGUGCCAGUGCCGAAGAAGGAUGGGAAUUUUAGAGUCUGUGUUGACUACCAAGAUCUCAACCAUGCCAGUCCGAAAGAUGACUUUCCCUUACCGAAGAUACACAUCCUGAUUGACAACUGCAGUAAGCAUGAGCUGCAGUUGUUCGUUUAUUAUUUUUCUGGGUAUCAUCAUAUAUGGAUGGACGAAGAAUAUGCGGAGAAAAUAACAUUUAGUACGCCAUGGGGAAUAUAUUGUUACAAGAUGAUGUUAUUUGGGUGAAAGAAUGUUGGGGCCACAUACAUUAGGAUCAUGACUACUAUUUUCCAUGACAUGAUACACAAUAAGAUCGAGGUAUAUGUAGAGGACGUCAUCAUCAAAUCCACCAAAAGCCUUUGACCAAAUAGAAGGUACAAUCUGAAACUGAAUCUCGCGAAACGCGCAUUCGGGGUUCCUACCAGGAAUCUGUUUUUGUUCAUAGUGAGUCGUCGAGUAACAUAACUAGAUCCAUAAAAGGUUAAGGUCAUUCAAGAAUUUCCACCGCCAUAGAACAAGAAGGAAGUGAUGAGUUUCCUUGGGAGACUCAACUAUAUUAACCGGUUCAUAGCCCAGUCCACUUUCAUUUCUGAACGUAUCAUUAAAAUGUUGAAGAAGGAUGCCGCUACCAAAUGGAUUGAUAAUUGCCAGAAAGCCUUCUACAGAAUCAAGGAGUACCUGUCGACACUACAAGUUUUGGUUUUGCCCAAACAAUGUAGACCUCUAUUGCUCUACCUUGCAGUAUUGAAUAGAGCAUUCGGUUGUGUUCUGUGGAAACAUGACAAAACGGGGAUAAAGGAGCCGCAAUUUAUUACCUCAGCAAGAAGUUCACCCCAUAUGAGGCCUGGUAUUCUCUAUUAGAGAACACUUGUUGUGCUCUGACUUGGGUAGCUCAGAAGUCGAGACAAUAUUUCUAUGCCUAUACCACUUAUCUCAUAUCAAGAAUGGAUCAUGUAAGGCCUCGAGAAAUCGAGUGCUCAAAUUCGAGCAACUCAUAUAUUCAAGUCCAACUAUGUGUUGGGACUAUGUAAAAAACUAGAGUUAACGUUUUCCAGAAAAGUGUCAUUUUAGCGGGAGAGAAUGCGGUCACAGACCAUGUAUGCGAACUACGUUUCUGCCGCAUAGUUGAUCAGGGAGUUGGUCUAAAUUGAUGUUCGAAGUGCGAUCCAUUAUGACAUCGCAUAAUCGAUAUUCAUGUCGCAUAGUUGUCGCACAACUCCCUCAAGGAUUUGUGAAGGUUAGUUCUGCAGUGCAUUAUACGACGGCAGAAUAAGAAUGCGGACCACAUUCCCAUUGCAUACCCAGGCAGAGAUGUUUAGUGAUUGGGUCAGUUCUGCGGUCCAAUUCGCGAAGCGCAUCCCAAUUCUGCGAUCGCAUAGUGCGACCGCAGAUCUUGCCCGAGCUUCUAUUUUCUAAAAUUUUAAACUCAACCCCCUUGAAUAAAACACCCCAACCCCUCAUUUUAACAUAUUUUCUGAGCAAGUAAUAGAGAGGGGCGAGAGGGUUCUUGAGAGAGAAAGUGUUCUCCAUCAAAUUGAUUCUUCAAAAACUAUCCGGGCUGGGAAAAUUCUAAUUGAUUGUCUUCAUCCCCGCUCAUAGAGAUAAAAUACCUAACCCAUUUUUCCUUGAUUUACAUAUUUUACGUUAAGAUAGGGAAUCUCAUGCAUUUAUUAUUGAAAUAAUGGGUGGAAACUCAAAUGCAUGUCUUUAAAAACCAAAAAUCUUGUAAGGGGAAUUGGGUAGAAGUAAGGGAUUGUGCUUGAUAACCUAAAUAAGCUUGGGUAGUAAUGGUGAACAUCAAUUCUAAGGCACGUGUGUUAAUUUGUGAACGAGAUUGACGUUGCUAGAUUGAUUGGUGAUAGAAAAAUGAGUUGAAAAGGGGAUUCGGCUCCAGGUAUAUAUGGCUAAUUUUUUAUCCUUGUGAAAUCGUCUUUUUUUAUGUACGUAUGCUUGGUAGGUGAUAAGUACGUAAAUUACUUGUGAAUUUCUUGUGAUUGGUACGUUUUGAUUGUGUUAAGUGGUUGUAGUUGAGGAAUAAAUGACUAAAGGAAAUUAAGACUAAUGCAAUUGGAAAUAACUAUUGUAACAAUAUCUAUGGGUUAUCAAAUAUGAUGGAAAUAAUAUUGAUGGUUAUGAGAACACUUGUAAUAUUGUUAAUGUUACUUCGUGGGGAGUAUUGUUGUUCAUCUUUGUGAAUUGUUAUUGUUGUUGUAUUGUUUGUGGAUUGGAAAUGUUCGGUGCGAUCAGGUUACACAUCGCAACACGAAGUUAUAAGGUGCGAGGUGUGGUGAUAAGGGUCGCCGAGGUAAUAAAGGCGGAACAGUGAUUAAAAUCAAUCCUGAAAUAAACAUUUGGGCAAAUUUUUUAAAUCAUUGCUGUGUAAUUGUCAGGGUGGGAAACCAGGAGGGAUUGAAAACUUGUUUAGCUUGAUUGUACUUUUCGUGUAUGAAUUCGUUGUUGCUUCUAUUGUUGUUUUCUACUUGGGUACGGCUUGAGUUUACUUGGGACAAGGUUUGUUCAUGCAUACCAGUACAAUUCAACUGUACUGACGUUCCUAUUUCUGGGGGCGCUACAUUCGUUUAUGAUUGUAGGUGGAUCUAUGGCAGGUACUACAGUCCACUGACCGUAGCUCCUCCUUAUUUCCAAUCAGCUCAAUUGAUGAGCCCCUAUCCUUUCGCGGCGCUGCAUGGCUCAUGGUGCUCAAGUCUUUGUAUUUUAAGGUCUUAUUUUGGUGUUUGUAAAAGGUAUAGCUGGAGCCUUGUUGCCGGCAAGUAUUGUAUUAACUUCCUUCAUCUAUCGAGGCUUCGUACACAUAAAAAGCGGGUCAUAAACUUAUGUAAUAUGUAUUUUGUAUAUUGGGCAAUGUAAGAUGUAAACCACGCUAGGAACCAUGUACUUUGUUUACGUUUUGUAAUGUUGGUGUUUAAAUUAAUCGUAUGGUCAUCUCGUUUGGCUAAUAAGUAAUGGAAGAUGUGGGGUAAUACACCGUCGUAUGGCUGACCGGCGAUUACUAGCGAUUCCGGCUUCAAGCAGGCGAGUUGCAGCCUGCAAUUCGAACUGAGGACGGGUUUUUGAGGUUAGCUGGGAUAGCAAAGGCACCCAGGACCGCUUGACUGGGAAUACCCCGUAGAGUGUCGGUCAUGCCCUUGGAUUUGGUGUUUGACAAACUUGGUAUCAGAGCCUCAGGUUUUAAAAGGGUCCUAGGAUGUCUCGGAGCCGUGCCUAGCAGAGCCUUUCAUAUCGUUGUGUUUUCGACCACAUCUAUAAGUAGGGGGACACAUGGGAAUUUAGGAAACUAUUCUCUUCUUUGUUAUUCCAUUUCGUGCGAUAAGGUGAAAGGUGGGAGUAUUUACGUCUAACUCAUGUUUUGCUCCAAAAUUUUCAGAAAUGGCACCUAAGAAGAAAGCUAGACUCGGUCGUGAGGCCAACGCCACCCCAAGGUGGUCGUGAAUCAAGUACCUGAUGCCGUGGGUGAGAGUGACUCCCCAGCCUUGGAUCUACCUGGCCCAUCUAUUCCAGAUCCAAGUAUUCCUAUUCCAGCCACGGCAGAGGUUGCCACCAUACCUCCGUCGAUAUUCUUAAUCGUGAUGAUGUUCCAGCUUCCGGUCCUGAGGCUUAUGAUGGGGACCUUAGAGGAGCCAUUCGUAUGUUGACUCAGUUAGUGGUCGCUCAUGCUAGGGAUCUCAUGAUGCUCCCAUGUCCUGAACAGAUAGGGAGGUUCUGCCAGCUCCAGAGUCCACCAGUUUCAGCUAUUAGCCACUCCAGAGUUCUCAGGAAUAGACCCCGAGGCCGAUCCAUAGGAUUUCCAUGAUGAGAUGUACAAGACACUUCGUGUGAUAAAGGCCACAGAGACAGAGGGGGUUGAGUUUGCUUCCUACAGGUUGAGAGGAGCAGCGCAUUCGUGGUUCGAGAUAUGGGAGGAUUCCCACGACGAGGGAUGACAUCCUGCUAGAUGGAAUGAGUUUUUGGAUGCCUUUAUGGACCAUUUCUUGCCUGCCGAGACAAAGGCAGCUCGCACCACUAAGUUUGAGGUUCUCUAGCAGGGCGGUAUGAGUACUUGGGAGUACCACAUGGAGUUCAUGGGAUUGUCCAAAUAUGCUCCUCUGUUAGUGUCGACCAUGGAUGCUCUAGUUCGGCGUUCUGUGCAAGGUCUUAGUCCUUUGGUUAUGAAUGAGGUUGCUACAGCGGCCUUACACUCAGAUAUGAAUUAUGGAAAGAUUGUAGGAUUCGCUCAGGCCAUAGAGGCUCGGAAGUUGAAGAUACAGGCAGAUAAGGGAAGUUACAUCAGGGUUCGGUCUAUGGGUCACUAAGGAGGUCAGCUCUGGGGAUAGGGUCAUCAGGGCCAUCCCGGUCAUAUGCGCAGUACUCAACAAGCGCACUGCUAUCCCUGCAGAGAUAUCAAUAGAGUAAUCACUCAAGACCAUGUUCAAACAGUAGGAGGUUCCAUCAGCCUGGUCAUAUGGGACUGAGGUUUCAGCAGCAGGGGAGAGUUGCAUGCCCUAUGUUUGGGAGGUUCCAUAUAGAGACGUGCUAUUUGGAUAUUCCGAUGUGUUAUGGGUGCGGGAUGAGAGGUCAUAUCCAGUAGGAAUGCCGUUAUGGGCAGGGGAUCCUCUCAAUAAUCCGGUUCUUCAGUUGCUAUAUCAUCUGCACAUCCUCCAAUCCCAGUAGGGCGUGGUGUGGAUAGGGGUGGACCUCUAGGUAGAGGUGGACCUAGCUGGUUUUUUGCUUUGAGUUGUCACCAAAGCAUUGAAACUUCUCCAUGUAUGAUUACAUGUAUCUUAUCUGUUCAGGCCAUUGAUUGUUAUCCUCUUAUUGAUUUGGGGUCUUCUUUGUCUUAUGUCACCCCAUUGAUUGCGUCGAGUUUUGAAAUAGAACCCGAAUAGCUUCACGAGCCAUUCUUUAUGUCGAGUCCGGUUGGUAAUUCUACAUUAACCACGCGAGUUUAUUGGAAUUGUGUUGUCACGGUGAGUGGUCGUGUUACCACAGUUGACCUUAUUGAGCUUGGAAUGGUAGAAUUUUGAUGUGAUUAUGGGAAUGGGCUGGCUCUAUUCGUGCUUUGCUAUACCUGACUGCCGGACGAGAGUCAUGAGACUCGAGUUCCCUAACAAACCGGUUAUUGAGUGGAAAGGAAAUAGUGUGGUACCAAAGGGUAAGUUUAUUUCUUACCUUAAGUCUUCGAAGAUGAUUAAGAAGGGGUGUAUCUAUCACUUGGUUUGGGUGGCGGACAUCACAUCAGAAGUAUCUACCCCCGAAUCCAUGCUAGUUGUGGAGGAGUUUCUUGAUGUAUUUCCAAAUGAGUUUCCAGGGAUUCCGCCAGAUAGAGAGAAUGAUUUCGGGGUUGAUGUAUAGCCAAAUAUCCAGCCAAUAUCUAUUCCACCAUACAGAAUGGCGCUAGCAGAAUUAAGAGAAUUAAAGGAUCCGCUGAAGGAUUUAUUAGAGAAGGGGUUCAUAUGACCGAGCGUGUCGUCGUGGGGUGCUCCAGUUCUUUUUGUUAGAAAGAAGGAUGGGUUGCUCCGGAUGUGCAUUGAUUAUCGCCAGCUUAACAGAUGAUGGAAGAUAAUUUGUUCAACCAAUUUCAAGGUGAAAAGUUCUUCUCCAAAAUUGAUUUGCUAUUCGGGUAUCACCAAUUGAAGAUCAGAGAGCAAGAUAUUCCUAAGAGCUCUUUCAGAACACGCUAUGUUUACUUCAAAUUCUUGGUCAUGUCUUUGAGCUAACCAAUGCCCCGGAAGCUUUCAUGGAUCUUAUGAAUCGGGUCUUCAAGCCAUUUCUAGACUCCUUUGUUGAUUAUUUUCAUUGACGACAUCCUUGUUUACUCGCGAAGAAAGGAGAAUCAUGCCAAUCACCUAGGGAAGUAUUGAAGACUCUUUAUCAGCACCAGUUGUACGCUAAAUUUUCAAAAUGUGAAUUUUGGUUUGAGUCCGUCGCCUUUUUGGGUCAUGUUGUUUCCAGUGAGGGGAUCUAGGUAGAUCCCCAAAGGAUUUCAGCAGUGAAGGAUUGGCCCAGACCCACGACCCCGACGGAGAUCCGUAGCUUCUUGGGUUUAGCAGGGUAUUAUCGUAGGUUUCUAGAGGGUUUCUCCACCCUUGCCUUCAUAUUAACUAGAUUGACACAAAAGGCAGUCAAGUUCCAAUGGUCCGACGCUUGUGAGAGAAGUUUUCUGGAAUUGUACUUGAGGUUGACCUAGGCACCGAUAUUGGCUUUACGGAAGGCACAGAAGGAUUUGUGGUCUAUUGUGAUGCCUCCAGGGUCAGUUUAGGGUGUAUAUUGAUGCAGCAUGGGAAGGUUAUAGCAUAUGCUUUAGGACAACUCAAGAAUAAUGAGAAAAAUUACCCGACGCAUAACUUGGAGCUUGUAGCAAUUGUAUUUGCCUUGAAAAGAAGGCGGAAUUAUCUUUAGGGGGUCCAUGUGGAUGUGUUCUCCGAACACAAAAGUCUCCAAUAUUUUUUCAAAUAGAAAAAGUUAAACUUAAGGCAGCAGCGGUAGUUUGAGUUGCUUAAAGACUAUGAUAUGAACAUAUUAUACAAUCCAGGAAAGGCGAAUAUAGUGGCCGACGCCCUUAGUCGGAAGUGCAUGGGUUGUUUGGCUCACUUGGGAACAGAUCAGAGGCUCAUAGCUCAGGAGGUUUAUCAAUUGGCCAAUCCUGGGGUUUGUAUUUCAACCCCAAAUGAGGAGGAAAUUACGGUGCACAACAUAGAAGAAUUGUCGAUUUUAGGGGAAGUCAAGGAAAAGCAUUUCAUUGAUCCAGCAUUGGUACAAGUGAAGGAGGCAUUUCUAAAUAACAAGAUCUCAGCAUUUUCACUCGGCAGCAAUGAUGGUCUGUUAUGAUGCCAAGGUAGGCUAUAUGUCCAUAUGUGGAUAAUCUUCGAGAAAGGGUAAUGGCGGAGGCUUAUCAUUCCAGGUAUUCGGUGCACCCAGGUUCUACAAAAAUGUAUCAUGAUGUCAAAGAAAUAUAUUGGUGGGGCAGUAUGAAGAGAAGCCUGGCGGACUUUAUAUCGCAGUGUCCGAAUUGUCAGCAAGUAAAAGCCGAGCACCAACGGCCUGGUGGGGUAACCCAACUUAUGGAAAUACCAAUGUGGAAAUGGGAGAUGAUCAAUAUGGAUUUUGUGGCAAGACUACCUCGCACUCAGCGCAAGUUCGACUAAAUUUGGGUGAUAGUGGAUCGACUCACCAAAUCAGCCACUUCUUGCCAAUCAAGUCCAUGUAUACUGCAGAACAACAUGCUCGAUUGUAUAUCAAGGAAAAAGUGAGGCUUCAUGGUACUCCACUCUCUAUUAUUUCGGAUCGAGGGGCUCAGUUCACAACUAACUUUUGGAGAAAAUUUCAACAAGGUUUGGGCACUCACGUGAAUCUCAGCACAACUUUUAAUCCGCAGACCGGCGGUCAAGUAGAGCGGACUAUUCAGAGGCUUGAAGAUAUGUUGCGAUCUUGUAUCUUGGAUUCAAAGGUAACUGGGAUGAUCAUUUUCCCCUUAUAGAAUUUGCUUACAAUAACAGCUUUCAUGCUAGCAUUCAGCGUGGCAGGACUACCUCGCACUCACCGCAAGUUCGAAUCAAUUUGAGGUCGGAUUUGAGAACUAUUGAUAUGAAUGAACUCGUAGGAGUAUAAGGAUCCCGUUGAUGUGUUCUGAGUUUCAAGUAGUGUGCACGGGCGCAUGUAAGGCCCCAAAAAUUUUUGCUAAGAAAUCUAGGAUUUUGUGGUGCCAUGUAGGCUAAUUAUAUAUUUUAUGUGCUAUACAUCAAUUGUAUUUGGUAAAUAUGUGUGUAUGUUCUAUGGUAACUAAUUUGGGUACCAAGGAAAGGCUUAAGUCUAAGGAAGAUUUGAAAAAGUUCAUAAUAGGUUAAGAUUCCAAUGGUACUUGCACAAGUCCCCACUUUGAAUAAGCACAUAUAAAUAUGUAUAACAUUUUAUUUGAUGCAUAACCUAUCAAAUUAAAGGGCUUUGAGUCUAGUUUCCAACUUUUCAAACCGUUCAUCAUUUGGAAAUUCGUACACAAAGUUAUGAUCAAAUUACCAAAGGGUGAAAAAUGUUAUCUUAUGUCAAACCUGCGACCGCAUUCCUGUCGCAUUAUUGACUCUGCGGUCCCAUUUCUAUCGCAGACUGGGACAAUGUAGCCUAGUUUUUUGCGGCAGUUUCACGGUGCAUUAUGCGGCCAAAAUUCGCGUUCUGCGUUCCAUUAUACCAUAGAAGAAUUGUCAUCGGAGGGUUAAUUUUAUAAUUUUCAUAACCCGACCCCAUUUAAAUAUAUAGGCUUUGGGGUUCAUUUAGGGGUCAUUUAUUACUGAGUUUAGAGAGAGGUGAGAGCAUAUAGAGAGAGAAAGGAGAGUUCUUGCUUCAUAAUCAUCCAAACAUUGCAUCAUCCUUCAAUAAUCAAAGAGCUCAAUCAUAAGUUCUUCAUCUAAGAGGCAAGAUUCUAUACAUUAGGCUUUAAUUUCGACUUUGGGGUAUAAGAUGGGGUAUUGAUGUAUGAUUCUUGGGUGUAAUAAUGUUAUGUAUACAUGCAUGUACAAAUUUGGUUGUGAGAAGAUUGUUUAACUUAAAUAGGUAAAUAUUAGGUUGGGAAAUGAAUGAAACCUUGUAAAAUAUAAUUGAAAUCAAGAUGCUCAACUAGUACUUGAUCAAAUGCUCAAAUAAGCUGAAAUCAUGAAUUCCUUUCUAAUUUGUGUUCAAUUUUGUUAUGUCACAUAAUAGAUUGGUGCUAGAAUUUGUGAAAGUUGAAUUAACAUAAGGAAAGUGUAAUCGAGGUAUGUAUUGCUAACUUUUGACCUUUAUGAAAUCACCUUGUUUGGUGUGCAGAUAUUUGGUAUGUGAUAUCUACGUGGAUGUUUGUGAAAUUCUUGUUAUUGAUUUUAUUUGAGUGUUUGUGGUUAAGUUAACCGAUAUAGUGGCGCAAGUAAUUGGCAAUAACCUAAAUACGUGAUUGUGAAAGUGUUAUGUGGUAAGAACUGAGAAACAAAUGAUGGAAGGAAAUCAUAAAUGAUGCAAUUGGAACAACUGUGGUGAUAACAUAUUUGGCUUGUUGUGGAAAAUUAUAUUGGUGACUUAAAUUGCAUAUGAAUUGUUGAAAAUGAUGGACAAUGGCAUUGAUGGUUAUGGAUGUGAAUUGUUGUUGCUACUUUUUGAUAAGUGUUGUUGUUGUUCUCUGUAAAUUGUUGUUAUUGUUGUGUUGUUUGUGAAUUGUAACUAUACGGUGGGAUCGGGUUGCGCGGUAUAAGGUGUGGGUUGUAGUGAUAAGGGUGGUCGGGGUAAUAAGGGUGGCCGAGGUAAUAAGGGCGGAAAGUCAUUUAAAUAACUAUUGAAAUGAAAAUAUGAGAAAAUUGUGAAAUUAUUGAUGUGGAAUUAUGGAAGGGGAAAUAGGAGAGAUUAUAAACUUGUUUGGCUUGAUUAUUCCUUUCCUGUGUAUCUUAUUGUUGAUUCUAUUACUGCUUCUUAUUUUUGUAUGGUUUGAGUUUACUUGGGGAAAACUUGUUCAUAUAUACUAGUAUAAUUCAAAUGUCUGGACGUCCCUUUUGCCGGGAGCGCUACAUUCGUGUUAUGAUUUUAGGUGGAUCCAUAGCAGGUACUCCAGUCUACCGACCGUAGUUCCCCUUCACUUCCGUCAUAUGUAUUGGUGAGCCCCUUUCCUAUCGGGGCCAUGCAUGGCUUAUGUCACUUUUCAUUUCAAAGUCUUGUUUUGAUUUUUAGUGCAAGGUAUAGCUAGAGCCUUGUUACCGGCAAGUAUUGUAUCAUCCUUUUGUAUCCUUAGAGGCUUCGUAUAUAGUAAGUGUGAGUGCUGAACUUGUGUAAAUAUGUAUUUUGCAUGUUGGGCGAUGUAAGAUGUAAACCACGCUAAGAACCAUGUAUGUUGUGUAUGUUUUAAUAAAAGGUAUUUUUAAUUAUGAAUGGCUAUUUCACUUGAUUACUUUGUAAUGAAAUGCGGGGGUAACACGUGGGAUAGGAAAGCCACCAAGGUCUGCUUGACCGGGGAUACCUGAUCGAGCGCCGGUCAUGUCCCUCGAAGUUGUGUCUAGUAGAUUCCUUCUUAACAGUGUGUUGUCGACCACAUCUAUAAGUUGGAGGCUAUUCGGACAUUUAGAAAUUUCACCCUUCUUUGAUACUCCAAUCGUGUGAUAGAGCCCAAGUUAGGGUGUUGAUUUCCUCUCUGUGUCUUAUUCUUAAUAUUGGUAAUCUUGAUUCCAUAAUCCUCGAAUGUGAAGCAUGUAAGGAGGAAUUGAUCACACCAUUGAGUCCGAGUGGAUUGCCCAAGGACUUGUUAGGUGAAGGUUUUGAGCUAUGUGUGAAUUGGUAAAACAUAUCUCUAAGAGGGAAGUGUCCUUGACCCUGCUUAUGUUUCUGCACCAUCAGAUCAUGUAAUAUAUAAGUGUGUUACCUACGUACGUUAGGGAUGUGGAGUCUAGGGGUAUCGAUUAAGCUAUUUCCCUAUCAACAUAGCAUAAUUAAUGGAGUCAAAUGAAAAUUUCUACUCAUUGUAUAUGUAUGUCCACAUUGAAGAAUUCUCAUGAACAUGGUCUUAACAAGGUGUUGAAUAACAAACAUGGCGUGUAUCGAUUCUUUGAAUGAGACGCACUAUUCAUGAAUUCACUCUAUUAUGAAUUCUGUUAUUUGAAUUCUUUUGGAAAUAAGUUCUAUAAUUAUGCCCUUGAAUCGAGUUAUAACUGUAGGAUUGAUAUUUCCCACUUGAUUUUCCUAAAAUUCUCACCAAGGGAUUAUAUCUGAUGAGUUUAUUAGAGAAUCUUUUCACUUAAACAGAUGAAAUAUACUUGCUUGUUCUAAUACAUGCACCAUCGUGAAGUUUACCUAUGUGGCGUCAAGUUCCAUGCAAAGCUUACCAUGUUCUGAUCCUUCUCGAGUCACUCUUUACUCAUUUGUGUAUAUGGAUUAUAUGGUUUGAACAUUUAAUCUACUCUCUUGCGAACGUCAUCAUAAAAUCUUCUCACUGCCUAUUAACAUAAGAGCAUACCAUAAAACCUCACAUGAGUGCAUGUCAAUCAAAAUCGUCACCGUGUGCAUGAAGUCUCUUUGAAAAUUGAGAUCCUCACAUCCAUGUCAUGGGAAGAUCAUGUGUCGCCAUAACUUUCGUAUCCACUUGGGACAUACCGCAGUAAGUAGCUCACUUUGUCCUAGUAUUGUGGUUUCUCGUGGCAUGGUCGUAUGUUGCGGUUGGGAGUUAAUAUAGCAGAAGCAUGUCCAGCACAUAACAGAUGUUAACUUUGUCUUUACACCUCCAUAACAUGUGUUAAUUGUGUUCUUUAGUUAGUGAAUUCACUGUGCUUGUUUUCCCACACUUGUUCGAUAACCAUGAGAGAACACAUCCUUCUAUGAGUCAUUGUAACACUUUCUAUCUCGUAUGGACCCUCACUAGGCUAUUCUUCAAGACCAAGCACGCCUUUCGGGGUUAUUAUAGCAAAAUGCCCGUUUCUCUUAUUCUUCUUUAGUUAAUUAGCAUCUGAGUAGUUCUCAAGUGAAAAUCCAUGAAGAACUCAUUAUGAACAUCUGCAAACCCUCCAUGAUUAUUCUACACUAUUCAUAAGGUUCUCAUAUCAUUUCAAGUUCAUCAAGGGUUGAUAGCAUUCAGCAAUUACCGGCAUUGAAUGAUCUUUUUUCGAUAACAGAUUAUCUACACUUGUGCUAGUCGAGUGAUCUGCUUAUCAGUCUAAUUCUCGCAUUUAGAUUUUGGGUUGACAACGGAGAAAUACACUUAGUAACACAUUCAUAUGUCAAAGCUUUUCUCUCUGUUAAGUCUUAUAACAUCUCCCAAUGUGGUUUGCAAUAGCUGGUUGUGUAUAAGUGUGUUGUAGUGCUUCAUUAUGAAGUAGAUUUGCUAAACAUAAUUGGAUUUUAGAAUUCUACAGCUAUACAUCACAUGAAUUCAUACUGAAAUAUUCUUUGAGAAAAGGGGUAGCUUCUCGUAAUCGCUUUAUAUUACCACCCUUCCUAGUGGACACAAUGUAAAUGUUACUUCCAUAAGGGCCUCUCACUUUGUUUAACUUGUCUUGCAUCAUGUGUUGUUUAACCGUAAUCUUCAAUGAUAUAUCAUCUCAAUUUCUUGACUAGUUAUCCAACUAUAUGAUAUGAUUUAAUUAACCUCACAUAUAUGUACUCUACAAGCGCCCUGAGAGUGGGAAAAUUUCUCCUUUCCUACAAACUUCUAAUGUCUUCAACUUGCUCUAUGCUCGUUGGUUCCAAAUAGUGCUUAGUGGUUUUCCUACCCUACUAUCUACUUCAUCUGAUAUCUCUCAUUGUAGAAUUCAUUUAUAUUUCAUGGUAUCAAAGAGGAAGUCUUGACACAUUAAGGAUGAGGACAUGUUCCUUUUGUUAGGAUAAAAAGAUAUUGCUCGCACUUCUUAUGAGAGUUUUUCCUAAACAAUCACCUACCUUGUUGACUUUUCUAUCUGGCACGAAGGCUCGGGUUACGUCGCCUCGAUAAAUGCAUUACGGUGUCUCAUUCUUUCAAACUUAUCCAUGUGGUCACUUUGAGGUCUUAUUUUAUACCAACUCGUAAUGGUUUUAAGUACUUUUUCACCAUUUUUAUCGAUUUUCUAGGACUACGAGGGCUAGUCUCUUUGAUUUCAAAAAAAAUAAUAUUGAUUUUCCUUAAAGUUCGAGAUUAUAUUGCCAUAGUUUCAAACCAAAGUGUAUACAUGUUUCCAAAGUCUUAAAUGGGUCGGAUUGGAUGGGUUACGUGGCCUUCUUCUCACUCGACUUCUAGAAUAAUUGACUAUAUCGUAUUCAUGAGACGGUAGUUUUGCUACCCUUGGUAUUCCACCUCUAUUGGUGGGUAAGAAUGUCAUUUGUCUUUCUCUCCGGAGCAUCAUGUUAACCCUUAAAAACGCCUCUAACCUAUACAUUAUUUCGUUCCAAAAUUUAUUUGUCCUAGCUAUGUGGUUUUACUCGUGAAAGGGUGAGAUUAGAUGACUUCGGAUUUUUGCACAUACCAUGAGAAUAUUUAUUUGAAAGACCAAGUUGUCGUAUCUUUAGUUCUCUCAUAUAGGAUCAACUGUCAUGGCGGGUAAAGUUAUUUGAGAAUAUAUAAUCUCAUAAGUGUACAACUUCUUUUCAUCCCCAUGGGCUUGUGGCAUAGAUUCUGUGUGUCAGGUAAUGCUAAGAGUCUACUUCAACUUCAUGUAUUUUGAAACCCCGAUUACAUUCAAGGUGCCCGGGUAUUCUUAUUCUUGAUAAAUGAAUUUUCCCUACACUCUAGGAAAUGAGUGGUUUGAGUGCUUGAGUAUUCCUCCUUAAUGAUUCAUACUGCCAAUGCAUGAGUUAUCCCUAUGCCUUAUUUAUCUAAUAUUGAUGUCCCCACAAUGAUUAACUAUGUCAGUAUCUUUAUUGUAACCUUCUGUGUCUCUUAGCAUAUAACCUCAUGAAAUGCUCUGCUCAGCACGUUAAUGGAUUCCUGAGUAACUCCAGUCUGAUCUCGAACUCUGUUGUUCCUCAUCAUAUUAGAUCCAUAGGGUAUUCUAAGUUCAACCGAGUCAAAGAUGAAGCUUCAUUGUAUGAUCAUAUGAAUACUUGAUAGGUAAUUAUAUGGUUAGUUUAAGAUAGCACAUCUCAGGGUAAUUAUUGAAGGUCAUCAAGGGAUAAGUAUGAGUGUUCGCCUAGAGAUUUAGAGUUAGGAGAGUGAUUACGAGUAGGAUAUUCUUACUAUUUUCCACUAAAGAUGUUAUGUGAGUUGAUAAUAAAGGUUGCAUAAGUGUAUUCCAUAUUAGGCCACACUAGGAGUAUGAAGUGUCCCAUGUCCAAGAAAGUUGGUGGAGAUGAACUUUGUAUCAUCCCGGUGGAAAUUAUUGAAGGUAAAGUUAUUGGAUAGUUAGCUUAUGUAAGAUAUCUCCCCGUUAUCCUUGUUAAGUAAGUUCAGAGGUAGAAACUGUUCAUGUGAAUGUAUUCUGGCAAAGUCUGUAAAUGUAAGAGGCCAUUCAAGGUCUAAAGUGUUGUGGAAGUUAAAUAUUUUCUCUUGAUUGCAUAGCAGUUAGUUUUGUUUUGAAAGGUACUUUCAAGGUGAUAUGAUUUAAAAAUGUGCAGUCAAUGCCUAGGUAUCUUCAUGAUAAAGUGGUGUUUAUAAUGCUAAGGUUCUUGUCAUUGAUAUAUAAUUACAUUGGUGUUUUAUCAAGUUGAGAAAGCCACAUGGGAAGCGAAAUAUGAAAUGAAAGAAAAAUAUCCCCACCUGUUUGAACAAGUCUAGCAGUUAUCGUGCACACUCUUAUCUCUAAGAAAACUAAUAUUGUGUUUCAUUUGGUGCAAAGACACCCAAUAUCUUCCCUAAAUGCUUUACCAUUGUAUCUCCUUAAGUUGUGCAAGAAUUAUAUGUGUUGUUAUUAUUUGAGUCAUGUGUAUACCCUUUCGGGUAAAUGAAGCUUUUUAAGAACUCUGGUGAUAAGUGAAUUAUUAAUGGUAUUAUAAAUUGAUAAUGAUUAAUUGAAAUAUGUAUAGUGUAUUGGUUGAACUGUAUGGGACUCAUCGAAGUGACCAAACUAUGUCCAAUAAUGGUGAAGUGACUGAAUAUGUGCAAAAGUUGAGGAAAUAUAUUGUAUACCAGUUGUAGGGAUGAUAGGAGUUGUGUAAUGGUUCUUUAAAAUAUGUUACGGGGGCUCUCUGACAGGUAGAUAUGUCCAAAAUAUAAAAGAAAUUCUGGCAAAAUUUUUUCUUCUAAAACAUGGGAGUUAGCGAAAAUUUAGGAUCUUGCAUAUUAUGUUUUCAAGCCAACUAAUUUUUCAAAAAUACUCAUACGAGGAUGAAUUAUCCUGGGGGGAUGUAAGGCCCUGGAAAAUUUUGCUAAGUAAUCAAUGAUUGUGGUGCAACGUAGGCUAAUUAUAAUAUUUUAUGUACUAUUAAUAUGGUGCACGUCAAAUUGGAUUUGGUAAAUAUGUGUAUAUGUCCUAUGGUAAGUAAUUUGGUGUCGAACGAAAGGACUAAAUCUAAGGAAAAUUCGAAAAAAGUUCAUAAUAGGCUAAGAUUCCAAAGUUACUUGAACAAGUCCCUUCUUUGACCUAGCACAUUGACCUAGCACAUAUAAAUAAGUAUGAUGUUUUAUCUGGUGAAUAACAUAUCAAAUGAAAGUUCUUUGAGUAUAAUUUUCAACGCUUCAAACCGUUUGUCAUUUGGACAUUCCUACAUAAAAUUAUGAUCAAAUUACCGUAGGAUGGACAAUUCUAUCAUGUGUCAAAUCUGCGACCGCAUUCCUGUCGCAUUGUUCACUCGGCGAUUGCAUUUCUGUCGCAGAAUGCCAGUGUAACCCGGUUUUGGGUGCCAAUAUUUUGGUGCAUUAUGAGGCCAAAUUUUGCAUUCUGUGGUCCAUUAUGCAAUACCAUAAUUUAUAUCGAAGGGUUAAUUUCCUAAUUUUUAUAACGCGACCCGAUGUCAAUAUAUAGGCUUUUGGGUUCAUUUGGGGGUAAUUUCUUACUAAUUUUAGAGAGAGAUGAGUGCAUAUAGAGAGAAAAAGGAGAUGGAUAGCUUCAUUCAUCCAAGCCUUGCAUCAACCUUCAAGAAUCAAAGAUCCCAAACAUAAGUUCUUCAUCUAAGAGGUAAGAUUCUAUUCAUUAGUCUUUAAUUUCGAGUUUGGGGUAUGAGAUUGGGUAUUGUUGCAGGAUUCUUGGGUGUAAUAUUAUUAUGUAUACAUGCAUUUACAAAUUAGGUUGUGAGAAGAUUGUUUAACAUAAAUAGGUAAAAAUUGGAUUGGGAAAUGAAGGAAACCUUGUAAAAUAGAUUUGAUUUCAAGAUGCUCAACUAGUAUUUGAUAAAAUGCUCAAAUAAGGUGAAACCAUGAGUACCUUUAUAUUUUGUGUUCAAUUUGGUUAUGUCUCAUAGUAGAUUGGAAUUGCUAGAAUUUUCGGAACGUUGUAGUAACUUAAGGAAAGCAUAAUCGAGGUAUGUAUGGCUAACUUUAACCUUUUUAAAAUAACCUUGUUUGGUGUACGAAUAUUUGGUAUGUGAUAUCACGUGGAUUGUUUGUGAAAUUCUUGUGAUUAGUUUGAUUUGAGAAUUUGUGGUUAAGUCUACCGAUAUAAUGGUGAAUGUAGUUGGCAAUAAACUAAGUACGUGAAUUUGAAAGUGUUAUGUGGUAUGAGCUGAUGUGAGAGCAUAUAGAGAUAAGGAGAGGUCUAGCUUCAUAAUUAUCCAAACCUUGCAUCAACCUUCAAGAAUCAAAGAUCCCAAUCAUAAGUUCUUCAUCUAAGUGGUAAGAUUCUAUUCAUUAAGCUUUAAUUUCGAGUUUGGGGUAUAAGAUUGGGUAUUGUUGUAGGAUUCUUGGGUGUAAUACUAUUAUGUAUACAUGCAUGUACAAAUUAGGUUGUGAGAAGAUUGUUUAACAUAAGUAGGUAAAAAGUGGAUUGGGAAAUGAAUGAAACCUUGUAAAAUAGAUUUGAUUUCAAGAUGCUCAACUAGUAUUUGAUAAAAUGCUCAAAUAAGGUGAAACCAUGAGUAGCUUUAUAUUUUGUGUUCAAUUUGGUUAUGUCUCAUACUAUAUUGGAAUUGCUAGAAUUUUCGGAACGUUGUAGUAACUUAAGGAAAGCGUAACCGAGGUAUGUAUGGCUAACUUUAACCUUUGUAAAAUCACCUUGUUUAGUGUACGAAUAUUUGGUAUGUGAUAUCUACGUUGAUUAUUUGUGAAAUUCUUGUGAUUAGUUUGAUUUGAGCAUUUGUGGUUAAGUCUACCGAUAUAAUGGUGAAUGUACUUGGAAAGAAACUAAGUGCGUGAAUUUGAAAGUGCUAUGUGGUAUGAGCUGAGAAACAAAUGAUGGAAGGAAAUCGUAAAUGAUGAAAUUGGAACAACUGUUGUAAUAACAUAUUUGGCUUGUUGUGGGAAUUUAUUGUGGUGACUUAAAUUGCAUAUGAAUUGUUGAAAAUGAUGGACAAUGGUAUUGAUGGUAAUGGAAAUUCUUUGUGAAUUGUUGUUGUUACUUCUUGAGAAGUGUUGUUGUUAUUCUUUAUGAAUUGUUGUUUUUGUUGUCGUGUUGUUUGUGAAUUGUAACUGUAUGUUGGGAUCGGGUUGUGCGCCGAAAAACGAUGUUAUAGGUGUGGGUUGUGCUGAUAAGGAUGGCCGAGGUAAUAAGGGUAGAAAGUGAUUGAAAUCGCUAUUGAAAUGAAAAUAUGAGAAAAAUUGUGAAAUUAUAUAUGUGGAAUUGUGGAAGGGGAAACAGGAGAGAUUGUAAACUUGUUUGGCCUGAUUGUCCGUUUCUUAUGUAUAUGAAACUGCCCCUAACGUAUUGACUCCAGGUUUAAAAUGCCCUCCGUUAACCUAUUUUGAAGAAAAUGUCCCUACCGUUAAAAAUGUGGCAUAUUUGUGCCCCUAAGUCUAACAACUGACUGUGCUUAUAUUUAAAACAGUAGGGGCAUUUAUUUCAAAAUAGGUUAACGGUAGGGACAUUUUUAAACUGGAGUCAAUAUGUUAGGGGCACAAAUAUGCCAAAAUUUUAACGAUGUCUUUUUUAUUUUUUAAUUUUAAUUUCGGAAAAGGGUCAUAAAUGCCCCUAACGUAUUGACUCCAGUUUAAAAAUAUCCUCCGUUAACCUAUUUUGAAAAAAAUGCCACUACCGUUAAAAUUCUGGCAUAUUUGUGCCCCUAACGUAUUGACUCCAGUUUAAAAAUGCCCUUACCGUUAACCUAUUUUGAAAAAAAUGCCCCUACCAUUUUAAAUAUAAGCACAGUCAGUUGUUAGACUUAGGGGCACAAAUAUGCCACAUGUUUAACGGUAGGAGCAUUUUCUUCAAAAUAGGUUAACGGAGGGCAUUUUUAACCUGGAGUCAAUACGUUAGGGCAGUUCUGACCCUUUUCCCAGUAAAUAAUAUACCUCAUACCAAAUUUCGAUUUGGGAGUUCUAUUUUCAUAACUAAUGGUUUAGCUUAAUUGGAGGCAUACAAUUUUUGCUAAACCAACUUUGAUUUAAACCAGCAUUACCAAAAUAAAAUAUCAUAAUUUAUAUUCUGGAACAGUGCUCUAAUAACUUGAGCAAGCAACCUUGCAAAAGCCAAAUUGCAAGUUGACAACAAACACAUAUGUGACCAUACAAUUCCUUUAUUCUAUUACAACUUCUAAGGUUUUUUCAUGCAUACCAGUACAAUUCAAAUGUACUGACGUCCCUUUGCCGGAGGCACUACAUUCGUGUUAUGAUUGUAGGUGGAUCCGUAGCAGGUACUCCAGUCCACCGAGCGUGGCUCCCCUUCACUUCUGUCAGAUAUAUUGGUGAGCCAUUUUACUCUCGGGGCCUUGCGUGGCUUAUUUCGCUUUUCAUUUUGGAGUUUUGUUUUGGUUUUUGGUGCAAGGUAUAGCCAGAGCCUUAUUACCGGCAAGUAUUGUAUCAUCCUUUUGUAUCCUUAGAGGCUCCGUAGAUAGUAAGUAUGGGUACUGAAGUUAUGUAAAUAUGUAUUUUGUAUAUUGGGCGAUGUAAUAUGUACACCACGCUAACAACCAUGUAUGUUGUGUAUAUUUUGUAAUAAAAGGGGUUUUUAAUUAUGAAUGGCUAUUUCUCUUGGUUAAUAAGUAAUAAAAAUGCAGGGGUAACACGUGGAAUAGGAAAGGUACCCAGGUCCGCUUGACUGGGGAUACCCGAUCGAGCGCCGGUCAUUUCCCUCGAAUUUGAGGUAUGACAACUCAGGUUUUUCUAAUUUCGGAAUUUUUGAUAUUUUUUAUUGUUUUUGCUUGGGCUUAGUUCCCUUAGAAUACUGUGACGUAUUUGUUCUAAUUUUGCAUCGAUUGGACGCGCGUGGAGGUCAAUUUGAGGCACAAAGGCAUCCCGUGUUUGUGGUUUAGCCGGUUCAAUGUGAGUAAUGAUAUUAAAUGAUGUUUUGAAGGUUUGAAAGCCCGAAUUUCACAUCGUAGUACUAUAUUGAGGUGAGACACGCUCUUGAUGAUGAGCGUGGGGUCAUUUACUAUUGUGAAUUUUGACUUGGUCCGCCCCGAUUGGUAAUUUUCCACCGUGUUUGACUAAAACUUAUUUGUUAUCAUCAUGAUUUGGGUUGAUUUCAAUAUUUGGGCAUAAUGCUAACUAUUUGAACCCUUCGCAAAUUUUUAUCACUAUUUGAUUUAUUAUUGGAAGUCAAUCCUGGUGUAUUUUACUGUUUCAUAAAUCAGCCACUUUUACUCAGUUUUGAGAUUUAAAUGAUAUUCUAAAUAAUAUUUUGGGCUAAGAACUACACUUUUGCUAAUGCUCGAGCGACUUGUGAUGAUUUUCCAACUGGGUGCAGCCGAGGGCCAGAUGUAAGGAUUCAUUGAGUGGUUUAAGGCCGAGGGCCUAAGAUACAUAUAUGCGCCUUGAGGUGGCUAGAGUGAUGUAAGGCCGAGAGCCGAGAGUUGAAGCCACGAGGUGGCUUGAUAUAGUGCUUGGGUUGCAAAGGUUCCCUCCGUAGUCUGCAUACCCCCAGUGAGCGCGGGUACCUAUUGUAAUUUGAGAGAGAGCCCGAGGGGCUGCAAUUGUUCUUAGAGUGAGCCCGAUAGUAUGGUACUGUUCUAAGUGAUUGAUAAUGUGCCUGAGGGGCAAAUUUCUACUUGUUAUCUACCUUCCAAAUUACAUGUUUUACUUGUUAAAAAGGUAUUUUACUUGAUUUCUUCAUUGAUUUACUAUUUUAAGUGAUUUUACUGCUCCUGUAUAGAAUCUUUUGGGUUUUCACGUGUUUUCUUGCUGUCAACCAUUAUUUAUAUUUAUUACUCACUGGAUUGGAGUACUUAUAUUACUCUCUGCACCGUUUGCAUAGAUUCAUGCAUAGAAUAUUCUGCUCCUGAGUGCUGAUCCUCCUAGUCUAGGUGGUGUUUUGGAGACUACGAAGUAGCUGUUAGCGUCUGCAGCCCCCGUGCCUCACUUAUCUUAUUAUUUCUAUGUUCUUCAAACUAUUGUACUAGAUUUCGUAUUUACUAGACUUGUAUCAGUAUCAUUAAUUGCUCAUGACUUGUGACACCCUUUUUUGGGCUGUGUCGGGAUGGUUUCUCCAUUACUGUUAUCUACAUUUCCGUGAAUUUAUUACUAUUAAAUCAAGAUUUAAACUAUUUUAUGGUAAUUAAUUACUUUAAGAGUUGCACUGUAUUGAUCUGGCUGGCAUUAUCUUUAUGAGAGGCGCCAUCACGAUCGGGUUCAGGGUUGUGGGUCAUGAUAAUUUAGUAUCAGAGCCUAGGUUAAAUAGGUCUUACGAGUCAUGAGCAAGUUUCGUAGAAUGUCGCAGAUCGGUACGGAGAUAUCUGUAUUUAUCCUCGAGAGACUGCAUAGCCUUUUUAGGAUAAAACUUUGUAUUCUUGAGAUUAUUGUCAUGCGACCUUGUUGAUCUGAGAACUAAACUUAUAUUACUCUAUUCUCUCACAGAUGGUGAGGGAGCAAGCUACCAAAAGAGGUGAACGAAAACC
rnacentral:lncRNA from 1 species